rnacentral:rRNA from 1 species
UACGUAGGUGGCAAGCGUUGUCCGGAUUUACUGGGCGUAAAGAGCGCGCAGGCGGUCGUUCAAGUCGCGUGUGAAAGCCCCCGGCUCAACUGGGGAGGGUCACGCGAUACUGAUCGACUCGAAGGCAGGAGAGGGAAGUGGAAUUCCCGGUGUAGUGGUGAAAUUCGUAGAUAUUCGCAAGAACACCAGUGGCGAAGGCGGCUCACUGGCCCGGUACUGACGCUGAGGUGCGAAAGCGUGGGGAGCAAACAGG